UACGGAGGGAGCUAGCGUUGUCCGGAUUUAUUGGGUUUAAAGGGUGCGUAGGCGGCCCGUUAAGUCAGUGGUGAAAGCCUCCAGCUCAACUGGGGAACUGCCAUUGAUACUGGCGGGCUUGAGUACAGACGAGGUAGGCGGAAUUGAUUGUGUAGCGGUGAAAUGCAUAGAUACAAUCAAGAACACCGAUUGCGUAGGCAGCUUACUAGGCUGUAACUGACGCUGAGGCACGAAAGCGUGGGGAGCGAACAGG
rnacentral:rRNA from 1 species